GCAAACAGUACAAAGAAACCCCCCAAACGCACGCUUGGCAGAGCAGACACUUCCGUGAGAAGAUAGUUUGAGAACGCUGCAAGGGCUGCCCAACCCGCACUAAUCUGCAAGCAAACAUAAAUUUUCCUCCGAAGUGACACUGACAAGCUAUAAAAGAAUAAUAGUAGGUAGCAAUCUCCCUUCUUAUUCUGCCCUGGACUGGCCAGCACGGGAAGACAAGAUGAUGCCAACGAUAAGGCCAUAAAGAGCCAACGCUUCGGCAAAGAUGAGGAUAAGAAUCAUUCCAACAAAAAGUUUAGGCUGUUGAGCAUUAGCUCUGCGAGAGAGAGAAAAUGUAUCAGUAUGAAUCGCAAGUCAAGAGAUUCUUCUCCCUAAGUUGCAUUCUUGCAAGUGCAAAAGAUAUUGCAACACAAUGGAAAAUUCUCCUGUGUAUGCAGCCUCCAUCAGAGAUUUCUCAUUUUGUCUUAAUUUUACAGAAAAAUACCAGACAUUACAAAGUUUGCACAGCAAAACUAGACAACAGAUCUAUAUCUAUAUAAUUUAGAAACCACUGCAUCAUAUCAAGGGGAAAACAGUUCAAAGUAAAAAACUAACUAACAAAGUAUGACACUAAUAAAAAAAAAUAUACAGGUUGAGACACAUUAACCAUACCGAUCCUGUAUUAGUUAAUAACAAAAAUCACAUAUCACAUAUACUCUACAUAAAAAGGACAGCAAACAUACCUGACACCAGCAUCACCAACAAUGCCAAUGGCCAUUCCAGCAGAUAGCCCGGCAAGGCCACAAGCGAGACCGGACGAGAGAUGUGCAUACCCGUCGAAAAGGUAAUAAGACUUAGCCUUAGGGUUAAUUCCGGUACUAAUAAUAACAGCAAUAAUCAACCCAUAAAUACCCAACACACCAGCCAUAACAACUGGAACAAUCGACUUCAUCACCAACUCGGGCCUCAUCACUCCCAUCGAUGCCACACCAACUCCACUCUUAGCGGUUCCAUAAGCUGCUCCCAUACCUACACAAACACCAAAACUCCAAUAUUACACCAAAAACAAAACACACAGAAGCAUUUCAAAAAUUCUUCCUAGAACUAAAAUUUCUGCAGAUCUAAGGAAUUUGUUAAAAAUCUAAUCUUGAUUAAGUAAAAUGGUUCUAUAAAAUAAAGAUUAUCAAAUCAAAAUUUAAAUCAAAAUGCUUAAUAAAUGUCAAAAUUAAUAUCAUUUAUUGACAAGUAAGCUAAUUGAAGAUCCAAGUCAACGUAAUUAACACAAACCCAUUAUUAAUUACGCAUACGCACGGCCAAUAAUCAAAUUCAAAGAAAUAAUUGCAACGAAUAUAACAUUAAACUAAAAUGAAAUCACUUUAGACAUGUAUAAUUGCAUCAAGAUCGAUCUGAUAAUCAUCCAUAUAGCAAUUCUAUUUUCCUUAAUUUUCUAGGGAACCAAUCAAGAACAUGAAAAUAAAUAAAACAAUUAAAAGAUCGAAUAAAAGUAAAAGAAAU
rnacentral:lncRNA from 1 species